CCUACGGGUGGCAGCAGUGGGGAAUAUUGCACAAUGGGGGAAACCCUGAUGCAGCGACGCCGCGUGAAGGAAGAAGGAUUUCGGUAUGUAAACCUCUAUCAGCAGGGAAGAAAAUGACGGUACCUGACUAAGAAGCCCCGGCUAACGACGUGCCAGCAGCCGCGGUAAUACGUAGGGGGCAAGCGUUAUCCGGAUUUACUGGGUGUAAAGGGAGCGUAGGCGGUGCAGCAGGUCAGAAGUGAAAGCCCGGGGCUCAACUCCGGGAGUGCUGUGGAAACUGUUGAACUAGAGUGCAGGAGAGGUAAGUGGAAUUCGUAGUGUAGCGGUGAAAUGCGUAGAUAUUAGGAGGAACACCAGUGGCGAAGGCGGCUUACUGGACUGUAAAUGACGCUGAGGCUCGAAAGCGUGGGGAGCGAACAGGAUUAGAUACCCGUGUAGUC
rnacentral:rRNA from 1 species